GUGAAUUACCGGUUCUCGUUAGAUCAAAUGAAGUCAAGCAUCAUUGGGCGCGGUCAGUACUUGGGUGGUGACCUGGGAACACCGCGUGCCGUU
rnacentral:rRNA from 1 species